CUCACUUGCUCUCACUUAUCCACACCCCACUCUUUCCUCCACUCCCACACACUCUCCUCCUACCUCUCCCCACGAAAUUGCUGCUCCUCCUAGCUUCAUGGCCGGCCAUGGCCAUGAAAAGCUCUCCAAGAUGAAGCUCUCCCCCUCCCUCAAGCUCCCCCUCUCCAUGAGAGCAUCCCUCUCCUUCUUCUCCCCAAUCCUAGAUGGUUUUCUCUCCUCUUCUUCUUCCUCCCUUGCUAAGUUUGGAUCUUGAUGCAGGUACAUGUUGGUCCAAGCAUGGAGAAGCUUCACCUAUCCUCAGAUCUGAAGUUCUUGACCAAAAUUCGUCCAAAACCUUGCAGAUGUUAUCUACCAGGGGAUAUUUGGUUUAUACCAUGGUGAUACCCGAGAGAGGCAAUUGCUAAGUUGUGAUGCACUCAUACCUUUACUAGAUGCGAACAAUUCCGGAGAAGAAGAAGUGGAAUCGGACGAGGAUUUUAUUUAUAUUGUUGGGAUUCUUAUAUUUAUGGAGUUGAAGAAGUCCGGGGACAAAUAAGCCAAGGAAAGCCAUCUUUUGAUCUCUGAUAUGAUGUCUCUUUGGAUGUCAUCUUGUGCUAUCAAUAGCAUCUUGGUUCUAUGUGUGAUGAUCUCCAUAUUGUUGUCAUCUAUGCUUGGAUGCAAGCAUGGUACCUCUAGUAGUUUUAUCUUGUCAAGGUCUUGGUAAUUGGUUGGGUGUAUGGUAUCAUGGCCAUUGCUAUCCAACUUGUUUUCUAUAUUUAGCUUGAAUAUGUUCCACCUCGGGACAAGAUUCAUACUACAUCCCUUCUAGUGUAGAUGUAUCAAUACCAUGUUUUUGGUGUAUUCUCAAAUUGUGAUGAGUAUGCCUGAUUCCCUUAAUGGUGUUGGUGUUGGUCAAUUCUCAUCCCUAUCUAUUGAUUGGGUUAGAUAGCACCACAAAUCUGAAAGUAUAUUUUCCUCUUGUGUUGUCAUAAUACAUGCUUAGCUCAAGCAAGUAUGAUCCACUCCAAUACCUCUUUUUCAUACCCUCAAUGGCGUGAUGACCCUCAU